CUAACGUUGUGUGGGGCUUCCUCCAGAUACAAAAUAAAAAAACAAACCACAACCUUCUGUCUCCCAAACUCCAGGCAGUCACUCUAUACCAUUUAUUUUGUCGUUCAUCGUUUGAUCAUGGUGAAUUAGCAAAAAGAGUAAAGGAAGAAAGAAUGUGAGAGGUUGAGAGAAAGAGAGAGAAGAGGAGAGAGGGAGAGAGUGAGCAGAGGUUUUCUGCAAGAGAAGAAG